rnacentral:rRNA from 2 species
CGUGGGGGAUGAAGGCCUUCGGGUUGUAAACCCCUUUCAGCAGGGAAGAAGCGAAAGUGACGUUACCUGCAGAAGAAGCGCCGGCUAACUACGUGCCAGCAGCCGCGGUAAUACGUAGGGCGCAAGCGUUGUCCGGAAUUAUUGGGCGUAAAGAGCUCGUAGGCGGUUCGUCGCGUCUGCUGUGAAAGCCCGAGGCUCAACCUCGGGUCUGCAGUGGGUACGGGCGGACUAGAGUGUGGUAGGGGAGACUGGAAUUCCUGGUGUAGCGGUGGAAUGCGCAGAUAUCAGGAGGAACACCAAUGGCGAAGGCAGGUCUCUGGGCCACAACUGACGCUGAGGAGCGAAAGCGUGGGGAGCGAACAGGAUUAGAUACCCUGGUAGUCCACGCCGUAAACGGUGGGCACUAGAUGUGGGGCUCUUUCCAUGAGUUCCGCGUCGCAGCUAACGCAUUAAGUGCCCCGCCUGGGGAGUACGGCCGCAAGGCUAAAACUCAAAGGAAUUGACGGGGGCCCGCACAAGCGGCGGAGCAUGCGGAUUAAUUCGAUGCAACGCGAAGAACCUUACCAAGGCUUGACAUAUACCUUCUAUCCUCAGAGAUGGGGAGUGCUUUUAGCGGGGUAUACAGGUGGUGCAUGGUUGUCGUCAGCUCGUGUCGUGAGAUGUUGGGUUAAGUCCCGCAACGAGCGCAACCCUCGUCCUA